UUUAUUGGGGGGGAAGGGGGGGAGGAGUUCAAUUCUCCAUCCCCCUUUUGCCUUGGGCUCCCCACUUGUUCAAAGGGGGUAAACAAAGGGAAGCAAGACCGCGAGGGGGAGCAAAACUCAAAAACAACGUCUCAGUUCGGAUUGCAGUCUGCAACUCGCCUGCACGAAGUUGGAAUUGCUAGUAAUCGCGGAUCAGCAUGCCGCGGUGAAUACGUUCCCGGGCCUUGUACACACCGCCCGUCACACCAUGGGAGCCGGGGAGACCCGAAGUCGGUAGUCUAACCGCAAGGAGGGAGCCGCCGAAGGUAGAACUGAUGACUGGGGGAACCGGACACCUCCGCCGCCC
rnacentral:rRNA from 1 species